rnacentral:rRNA from 1 species
UACGUAGGGUCCGAGCGUUGUCCGGAAUUAUUGGGCGUAAAGGGCUCGUAGGCGGUUUGUCACGUCGGAAGUGAAAACUCAGGGCUCAACCCUGAGCGUGCUUACGAUACGGGCAAACUAGAGGUAUGCAGGGGAGAACGGAAUUCCUGGUGUAGCGGUGGAAUGCGCAGAUAUCAGGAGGAACACCGGUGGCGAAGGCGGUUCUCUGGGCAUUACCUGACGCUGAGGAGCGAAAGCGUGGGGAGCGAACAGG